rnacentral:rRNA from 1 species
CCUACGGGGGGCAGCAGUGAGGAAUAUUGGUCAAUGGACGAGAGUCUGAACCAGCCAAGUAGCGUGAAGGAUGACUGCCCUAUGGGUUGUAAACCUCUUUUAUAUGGGAAUAAAACGUUCCACGUGUGGGAUUUUGUAUGUACCAUAUGAAUAAGGAUCGGCUAACUUCGGGCCAGCAGCCGAGGUAAAACGGAGGAUGCGAGCGUUAUUCGGAUUUAUUGGGUUUAAAGGGAGCGUAGGUGGAUUUUUAAGUCAGUUGUGAAAGUAUGCGGCUCAACCGUAAAAUUGCAGUUGAAACUGGCAGUCUUGAGUACAGUAGAGGUGGGCGGAAUGCGUGGUGUAGCGGUGAAAUGCUUAGAUAUCACGAAGAACUCCGAUUGCGAAGGCAGUUCACUGGACUGCAACUGACACUGAGGCUCGAAAGUGUGGGUAUCGAACAGGAUUAGAUACCCGAGUAGUC